rnacentral:rRNA from 1 species
UACGGGGGGGGGCAAGCGUUGUUCGGAAUUACUGGGCGUAAAGGGCCAGUAGGCGGCCAACUAAGUCGGAUGUGAAAUCCCUCGGCUUAACCGGGGGAACUGCGUCUGAUACUGGAUGGCUAGAGGUUGGGAGAGGGAUGCGGAAUUCCAGGUGUAGCGGUGAAAUGCGUAGAUAUCUGGAGGAACACCGGUGGCGAAGGCGGCAUCCUGGACCAAUUCUGACGCUGAGGAGCGAAAGCCAGGGGAGCAAACGGG